rnacentral:rRNA from 1 species
UACGUAGGGUGCGAGCGUUGCCCGGAUUUAUUGGGCGUAAAGGGCGCGUAGGCGGCUCUGCACGUUCGUUGUGAAAUCGCCCGGCUCAACUGGGCGGGGUCAGCGGAUACGGCAGAGCUUGAGCAAGCUAGGGGGCAAUGGAAUUCCCGGUGUAGUGGUGGAAUGCGUAGAUAUCGGGAGGAACACCAGUGGCGAAGGCGGCCUUCUGGACGGAUACUGACGCUGAGACGCGAAAGCGUGGGGAGCAAACAGG